UACGUAGGUGGCAAGCGUUGUUCGGAAUUAUUGGGCGUAAAGGGCGCGUAGGCGGUUCCGCAAGUCCUGUGUGAAAUCUUCGGGCUCAACUCGAAGUCUGCACGGGAAACUGCGGGGCUUGAGUGUGGGAGAGGUGAGUGGAAUUCCCGGUGUAGCGGUGAAAUGCGUAAAUAUUGGGAAGAACACCGGUGGCGAAGGCGGCUCACCGGCUCAUUACUGACGCUCAUGCGCGACAGCGUGGGGAUCAAACAGG
rnacentral:rRNA from 1 species